GACGUAGGGCGCGAGCGUUGUCCGGAUUUAUUGGGCGUAAAGAGCUCGUAGGCGGUCAGCACAAGUCAGUUGUGAAAUCUCCGAGCUUAACUCGGAAAGGUCAACUGAUACUGUGCGACUAGAGUGCGGAAGGGGCAACUGGAAUUCUUGGUGUAGCGGUGAAAUGCGUAGAUAUCAAGAGGAACACCUGCGGCGAAGGCGGGUUGCUGGGCCGACACUGACGCUGAGGCGCGAAAGCUAGGGGAGCGAACGGG
rnacentral:rRNA from 1 species